rnacentral:rRNA from 1 species
AGAACGAACGCUGGCGGCAGGCCUAACACAUGCAAGUCGAACGCUCGUAGCAAUACGGGAGUGGCAGACGGGUGAGUAACGCGUGGGAACGUACCCUUCGGUUCGGAAUAACCCGGGGAAACUCGGGCUAAUACCGGAUACGUCCGCAAGGAGAAAGAUUUAUCGCCGAAGGAUCGGCCCGCGUCGGAUUAGCUAGUUGGUGAGGUAACGGCCCACAAGGCUACGAUCCGUAGCUGGUCUGAGAGGAUGAUCAGCCACACUGGGACUGAGACACGGCCCAGACUCCUACGGGAGGCAGCAGUGGGGAAUAUUGGACAAUGGGCGAAAGCCUGAUCCAGCCAUGCGCGUGAGUGAAGAAGGCCCUAGGGUGUAAAGCUCUUCAGCGGGAAGAUAAUGACGUACCCGCAGAAGAAGCCCGGCUAACUUCGUGCCAGCAGCCGC